UACGUAGGGCGCGAGCGUUGUCCGGAUUUAUUGGGCGUAAAGAGCUCGUAGGUGGUUCGGUAAGUCGGGUGUUAAACCCCCAGGCUCAACCUGGGGACGCCACUCGAUACUGCUGUGACUUGAGUCCGGUAGGGGAGCGUGGAAUUCCUGGUGUAGCGGUGAAAUGCGCAGAUAUCAGGAGGAACACCAGCGGCGAAGGCGGCGCUCUGGGCCGGUACUGACACUGAGGAGCGAAAGCGUGGGGAGCAAACAGG
rnacentral:rRNA from 1 species